AGUGAACGCUGGCGGUAGGCCUAACACAUGCAAGUCGAACGGCAGCACACUAAUAGCUUGCUCUGACGGGUGGCGAGUGGCGGUCGGGUGAGGAAAACAUCCGAAUCUACUUUUUCGUGCAGGAUAACGUGAGUGAACUUACGCUAAUACCUCAUACUAGCUACGGGUGAAAUCAUGAGAGCUUCGGACCUUGCGCGACUUAAUGAGCCGAUGUCGGGUUAGCUAGUUGACGGGGUAACGGCCCACCGAGGCGUCGAUACGUAGCUGGUCUGAGCGGAUGAUCAGGCACACUGGAACUGAGACACGGUCAAGAGUGCUACGGGAGGCAGCCGUGAGGAAUAUUGGACGAAGGGCGGAAGAAUGAUGCAGACAUGGCGCGUGGGUGAAGAAGGAAUUCGGUGUGUAAAGACCAUUUGUUGGGAAAGAAAAGUAGCAGGUUAAUACCACGCUGUUCUGACGGUACCCAAAGAAUAAGCAACGGCUAACUUCGUG
rnacentral:rRNA from 1 species